AAAAAGAAAAUUCUCAGAUUGGGGAUUCUCAGAUCUGAUUCAGUGAAGCUGUUGGUACUCUCACAUUUUCAAAACCACAUCUUUAUCUUGUUUUUCUUGCAGGUUUAGAUUAGAUCCUGGAUAUUUUGAAAACUUGUUUCGGCUUCUGCUCUUAUUUAGUAUAUGCUUCUAAAGAAGUCGAAACUUACUGCAUUAAAAUGGAAUGAAACCUUUGAUU
rnacentral:lncRNA from 1 species